rnacentral:rRNA from 1 species
AACGAACGCUGGCGGCAGGCUUAACACAUGCAAGUCGAGCGCCCCUUUUAGGGGAGCGGCAGACGGGUGAGUAACGCGUGGGAACCUACCUUUUAGUGCGGAAUAGUCCUGGGAAACUGGGUUUAAUACCGCAUACGCCCUUCGGGGGAAAGAUUUAUCGCUAAAAGAUGGGCCCGCGUUAGAUUAGGUAGUUGGUGGGGUAAUGGCCUACCAAGCCUACGAUCUAUAGCUGGUUUGAGAGGAUGAUCAGCCACACUGGAACUGAGACACGGUCCAGACUCCUACGGGAGGCAGCAGUGGGGAAUAUUCGGCAAUGGGGGCAACCCUGACCCGAGCCAUGCCGCGUGAGUGAUGACGGCCCUAGGGUUGUAAAGCUCUUUCAGUCGUGAAGAUAAUGACGGUAGCGACAAAAGAAG